CAGCCGCCGCGGUAAUACGUAGGUGGCAAGCGUUGUCCGGAAUUACUGGGUGUAAAGGGAGCGCAGGCGGGCGUGCAAGUCAGCUGUGAAAUCCAUGGGCUUAACCCGUGGGCUGCAGUUGAAACUGUAUGUCUUGAGUGAAGUAGAGGUAGGCGGAAUUCCGAGUGUAGCGGUAAAAUGCGUAGAUAUUCGGAGGAACACCGGUGGCGAAGGCGGCCUACUGGGCUUUAACUGACGCUGAGGCUCGAAAGUGUGGGGAGCAAACAGGAUUAGAUACCCUGGUAGUCCACACUGUAAACGAUGAUUGCUAGGUGUGGGGGGUCUGACCCCUUCCGUGCCGCAGUUAACGCAAUAAGCAAUCCACCUGGGGAGUACGGCCGCAAGGCUAAAACUCAAAGGAAUUGACGGGGGCCCGCACAAGCAGUGGAUUAUGUGGUUUAAUUCGAAGCAACGCGAAGAACCUUACCAGGUCUUGACAUCGAGUGACGUACCUAGAGAUAGGUAUUUCCUUCGGGACACGAAGACAGGUGGUGCAUGGCC
rnacentral:rRNA from 1 species